GUUUUGUUAACAGAAAAAUUAAGUAAAUUAUAUUGUAAUAAAAAAAAGGUAGAUAAACCAUUGUACAACAGUAUUCUAGGCGGCCAAGAGUGUGACAGACGCACUAAAAAACCCUCCAACUUUAACUUGUAACGUAGCUUCAUCCUCCAAGCCGACUCCUUUUUCUUUUCUCUCUUUCUUUUCCUGUGUGUAGUACAGAUGAAACUUAAACCAGUUUCUUGACACUGCUUUUCAUGUCCAAACCAGCCAUUUUGAUGGACUUUGGUAAGGGGGGUACACAGCAAGGAAAAAAAAAACCCAACCUUUGUAUAUGACUUUUAAAACAAAAAGAGGACAACACAGUAUUUUUCAAAGUUGUAUAUAGCGCAUAUGCAUGGACAAAGAGCAAGCGUGGCACGUGUUUGCAUAAUGUUUAAUUACAAAAAAAUAUUUAUUCUUUAAAAAUCUUCAAGAUUAUGUCUAUUUGCUGUGCAUUUUCUUUCAGUUCGAUUCUUUUGUUUGGUUUUGUUUUUUUUUCCCUGGGCUGGGGUGGGGGAAGCGUGUGCUGGUGUAGUGAAUAUAUCUAUAUAUAUAUAUUUUAUUUUUUUUUUCUUUUUGGAAGGCUUUUUCCAGAGCAGUUGGGUUUCUCCUCUUCCUGCAGUUCCUUUCUGUCCAGGGCCUCCCCCAGGUCUGUGUGUGUAUCCAUUGCUGGCGACGGACGCGGCCCCUCGCAGCUCCUGGAGCUCUGGUUCAGGAUGCCUUGCCUUUUUCUUGGUUUAUUUUUGGCCCCAGAUCUAUCUUUACCUGCCCAAAUCCAGCUCUCUGUUCCCACUGGUGCACGCAGGACACGUGCUGUGAUCCCAGAGGAGGCGUGUGAGUGCGUGUGUGUGUGUUUGUGUGUGUUUAGAGGUUUGUUUUGGAUCCCGAGGCAGCACACGGAGGGGUGUUUUGCACCACUUCUCCAAAGGCUUCCUGCGAGAUUUCGGCUGUGGAUCUCCUCUCCCUCCACCUUUCAUCUGUCAAAUGGACCCUUUCUUGCUGUUUAAAAGGGGAAAGAACUAAUGAGUUUAGCUACUGAGUCCAUUUUUAUGAUUUCUGUAACAAGAGCUAUGUUAAAGUAAACAAUUGGUGGUGGUUUUAUUAAAUUUACUCCUGUAUAGGAAUUCCUUCUGUGGUAUUUUUCGCCAGGCAAGUGUUCUCCAAGCCUCCUGCCGCUCUGCCAGCUUCCAGGGGAUGGAAGUUGUGAAGGGAUCAGAUAAAAAAGGCAGAUCCCAGGCAGGGCUGUAACACGGGAUGCUGUUUCCAGCUGGCAGCGGGCUCACUUUGCCUCCCUCACCGCUCCUACCGACGUUCCACAGAUGUGGUUUUUUCCCCUGUAUCCCUGCUUUUCCCUUUAUUUGCCCUGGAAAUCAAACCUGGUGUGGUUUUAUCCCGUUUUUCCCUUUUAUUUGCCCUGGAGAUCAGAGGCAAGGGAGUGCAGCCGCCUUCCCCGUGCUGUUCUGGUGCUGCUGGAGGGGUGGGAUGGCGCCGGGCUGCGUGGAGCGGCCGUGCCCGUGUCCGUCCCUGCCAUUCCCGCUGGGAAUUCUCUGUCCAUGCAGUGAAACACUUGGAAACUGGGCUGGGCAGGGCAGGUACAAGCACAAAGGCGUUGGGUUUUCACUCCGCGUUCCCCGAAAGGAAAACGCCAGGGAUGAGGGCACUCCCCCCAAAGGGAACCCGCUCUGAGGCGUCCUCAGUCCCCAUGGCUGUGGGCAAAUAUAGAGACAGCGACAAAGCCCUGUUCUGUGCGAGAACCUGCUGCAGCUCCUUUGCCCCGGGUUUCAGGCGCUCGCAGUGAACUACCAUCCCCACAGACACUGUGGAAAUAGAAAGGAAAAUAAACAAACUCCGCCAUGCCA
ensembl:lncRNA